rnacentral:miRNA from 1 species
CCUACUCUUUCCAUUCC